rnacentral:rRNA from 1 species
UACAGGGGGUGCAAACGUUGCUCGGAAUCAUUGGGCGUAAAGCGCACGUAGGCGGUUCGUUAUGUCGGAUGUGAAAGCCCUUGGCUUAACCGAGGAAGUGCAUCCGAAACUGGCGAGCUAGAGUACGAAAGAGGAUCGCGGAAUUCCCGGUGUAGAGGUGAAAUUCGUAGAUAUCGGGAGGAACACCGGUGGCGAAGGCGGCGAUCUGGGUCGAUACUGACGCUGAGGUGCGAAAGCUGGGGGAGCGAACGGG